UACGGAGGGGGCGAGCGUUAUUCGGAAUCAUUGGGCGUAAAGGGCGCGUAGGCGGCUUCAUAAGUCUUGGGUGAAAGCCCUCGGCUCAACCGAGGAAUUGCCUUGGAUACUGUGAAGCUCGAGGCUGGAAGAGGGCAGUGGAAUUCCCGGUGUAGCGGUGAAACGCGUAGAUAUCGGGAGGAACACCAGUGGCGAAGGCGGCUGCCUGGGCCAGUUCUGACGCUGAGGCGCGAAAGCGUGGGGAGCAAACAGG
rnacentral:rRNA from 1 species